rnacentral:rRNA from 1 species
CCAUGCCGCGUGAGUGAUGAAGGCCCUAGGGUUGUAAAGCUCUUUCGGCGGGGAAGAUAAUGACGGUACCCGCAGAAGAAGCCCCGGCAACUUCGUGCCAGCAGCCGCGGUAAUACGAAGGGGGCUAGCGUUGCUCGGAAUCACUGGGCGUAAAGCGCACGUAGGUGGAUCUUUAAGUCAGGGGUGAAAUCCCGGAGCUCAACUCCGGAACUGCCUCUGAUACUGAGGGUCUCGAGUCCGGGAGAGGCGAGUGGAAUUCCGAGUGUAGAGGUGAAAUUCGUAGAUAUUCGGAGGAACACCAGUGGCGAAGGCGACUCGCUGGUCUUGUGGUGACGCUGAGACGCGAAAGCGUGGGGAGCAAACAGGAUUAGAUACCCUGGUAGUCCACGCUGUAAACGAUGAGAGCUAGUUGUCGGCAUGCAUGCAUGUCGGUGACGCAGCUAACGCAUUAAGCUCUCCGCCUGGGGAGUACGGCCGCAAGGUUA